GAGGGCGGGACGCGGCGAGACAGGGCCGUGGCUGCAGGUGUUUUCGCGGGUUGGGCGGGAGCGUGUAGAGUUGGGAGGUCGGAGGCCUGAGGUCCUUUCGAGAAACGCGAGGAACACGGAACGGCCAAGGCUUCCGGGGAGGAGAGGACGGCGGCCCCGCACCUUUGUUUCCAGAGGUUUCCAGGCGUUUUCUGGCCGGAUCCCAGGGCCUCGUGCGAUGGGCCGGGCUGGACACCGCGCGCUUCAAAGUCACGUUUGGGAUGCUUCUUGCUGACUGUAUCAAGAGGAACUGGUUCUUGGAACGAUGCCUCCGCCUUCCAAUCUGACCAGGUGCAGCCUUACCGUGUUAGCUAUCAAGUGGGGAGACCGGUGAACUCAGGGUUGCUCGUCGGACCUGAGCCACACCAGGGAAUCCAAUCACCAGAGCAUCUCAGGAUGUAGAAGGUGCAAGAGAGAGAGAGUGUGAACGGAGGAGGGACAGACACACAGAAUCGGAAGCAGACUCCAGUCUCUGAGCUGUCAGCACAGACCCCGAUGCGGGGCUCGAACCCACGAGCCGCAAGAUCACGAGCCGAGCCGAAGCCGGAUGGAUGCUCAGCCGGCUGAGCCACCCAGGCGCUCCCCCCCGCCCCCCACUCACUCCUUCUUCAGCUACGGCGAUCCCGUAGAAAUGAUGCCCGGCUCAGACUUCUAGAAAGAUAUUCAAGCGUUUCUAGCAGCGUUUCUCGUGCUUCAAGUGCGUAUGAGCCACCUGGGGAAUUAUGCAGAUUUUUAUGAAUUUAUUAUGCAGGAUUAUGAGGUCUGAGUUUCUGCGUUUGUGACACGCGUGUAGGUGACGCCAGGGCGCCUGCUUCAGGGACCGCACUUUGAGUAGCAGGGUCUUAUGUGGCUGCGAGAUGGAAGGUGUCGCUCUGCUGGGAACUUCAGGUGCAGUAACCCAGAAACCCAGAGAUAAAGGUCCAGAGGGAAGGAAGCACGAAACUCUCCACGUUUUCAGUACGCCCAAGGGAAGCCUUGUGAAAGGCUCCCAACCGGAGAGUGAAGAUCACUGAGUUCCAGAAACAUUUAAGAAAGUUUGGGGAUUAUUGGACCCAGAAGCUGGUGACAGGCCCGGUCUGGAUGAACGGUGCCCACCUCCUGGACCGCAAGUGCCUGCCCAUGGAGCUUCUAAGGAGGAUCCUAUCACCCUAGUGGACCACACCUCUGACAUCCAGAGACACAGAUGCCUGCCUGAAAGCCAACUUAAUCAUUCGUAACGCUAAGCAGGAUUGCCGUGUAGACCAGAUGUACAAACGUCAUGGCAGCCAUUCUCUUUCUGAAGUCAAGAUGCGAGAGUAUCCGGGAAGCAUCUGGAGCCAUCCGUUUGCAAGGAGAGAGCACCAGGAAUAUAAGCGCCACCAGGGCAAGAAUGUCUGUUUAUUUACGCUAUAUGAGUAAAUUACAGCGCUGGGAUUGAGAACGAUGUCGCUGCAGUCCAACUACCUCGGCCUGAAUCUCAUUUGAAUCAGCUGGUGGACAUUGGCAUUUCUCCUGUUUUCAUCCAUUUUUUUUUUCUACUUGCUGAAGCAGUUGGCUUUGUCAGGGGGGACUAAGUGUCCUGAUCAUUUUAAUUCAUGACAAUACACAUGUGCACCCUGGAUGACAUCUCUAGCAAAAGGCACAGGCCUCUCUCUUGCCUGAACCAACACUCAAGUUCACGUAUGGUCUAGCUUUCCUUUACUGUAAGUACCAAGAACCGAUGGCUAAUGAAUAAUUUCAUGCAGGCUCCGAGGUGACACAUAACAAGGGGGAGCGUUUCCACACCUACGACACUUAGGGUUCUAAAGUACCAAAGGCAGCGGUCGUUAGGAUGGAUAAAGACUUAGACAAGACCACUGAUUGGCCCACCUAGAAAUCAUCGGUGCCCCCAAGAGCUGUUAGUGUAGUGUGAAUAGGACUGAUACUUGACUGCAAAAGAUAACAGUAAUGAAUGAGGAAAAAAGGCUGUAGGUCAAGCAUCGGCUCAGUAUCUUAGCGGUUGAAAAGAAAAGUCAUAGCAACAAGAUGUCCUCCAGUGGGUACAUGGAUUAAGCUGCGGUCCAUCAUGACAUCCUAGUGCACGCUCAACACCGAAAAGAAAUGAGCUAUCAAACCAUGAAAAGACGGGGACGAAAGUUAAAUGCGUAUCACUAAGUACAGAAAGCCAAUCUGAAAAGACUGCAUGCUGAGUGAUUCUGAAGAUCUGACAUUCUGGAAAAGGCAAACCUAUGGAGAGAGUAAAAAGACCAGUAGUUCCCAAGGGUUAGAGGGAAAGGAGGAGUGAGUAUGCAGAGCACAGAGGAUUUUUAGGGCAGUGAAAAUACUCUGCCUAAUAUUAUAAUGAUGGCUAUAUUUGUCUAAACCCAUAGAAUUUACACCCCCAAGAGUGAGCCCUAAUGUAAACUAUGGACUCUAGAUGAUCAUGAUGUCUCAGUGUAAGUCCAUCAAUCAUAACAAAUGUACCACAUGGGUGGAGGAUGCUGAUAAUGGGGGAGCCUGUAGGGAAAGAGGAUAUAUAGGAAAUCUCUGUGCCCUCUGCCCAAUUUUGCUGCGAACCUAAAAUUGCUCUGAAAUAUGAAGGCUAUUUACAAAGAGAAAGGCAGAGAAGUCAGAAGCUUGAGAAGUCAGUAGGGCUUAAUGAAACGGAUUUUCUUUCUGCUUUCACGUUAAAGGGUAGGAAAAGACGAUAGCAUCCUUGAAGGCAGGAGGCAAGAGAUUAAAGGUAUGCACAAGACAGAGACAGAGAGACAGAGAGAUCCACUUUUCCAAGGGCAAGUGUCCCCCUUUGAAAGAGGAAGAAAGGAAUCGAUACCGACUCAGAGAAAGCAACGACCACAGGCUAUGGUGUAACCUGGAUAGCUACUGUCAAAAGAAGACGACCAGUUUGGGACGAGUGAAAAUUACACAAAAUUCAGUUGCAACGUCCAUAAGUCAAGUUUCACUGGGACACAGACACACUUGUUUGUGUACAUAUUUUCUAUGGCUGAUUUUUGCUAAAUUGGCAGAGCCGAGGACUUGCAAUGGAGGCUGGGUAGCCUGAAAGCCCUACUGAUAUUUAUUAUCUGCCCUUUACAAAAAAAAAAAAAAAAUUGCUAACCCUUGACCUAGAGCACCCAGUAUUGAGAUGGUGAAAAUCUCAAUCCAAAAGGUCACACCUCAGUUCACUCACAUUUUAUUGGCAAGAACUAACCAUAUGGACCCCCCCCUCCCCCCAUGCAAGGAGGCUGGGAAAUGGAGCCUCUGGCUGGGUAGGAUCAACUCUACCCUUUCACACUGGGGGACACAAAUCUUUGUUGUUCAGGUCACCACGCCUGAAGCAUGCACUUCUCAGGGUACAGAUUUAAAUGCCCUUUAGAUAUUUCUGCUCUCCAAAAUCCAUUUUCAACUGUGCCACCAGCGAAGGGGUGCGUGUGUGUGUGUGUGUGUGUGUGUGUAUGGUAAGGGGGUUGAAAGUCUUCCCUUCUGCCUUUCUCCUUAUUUCCUCAUCCUGCCUGGCUCCAGUUGGCUUUCCUCAAGCUGUCACUCUUUCCCCUUCAGGCCUCUUCUCACUAUUGUGCUGAGUGACUCAGUUAUGUCUGAGCUCCCAGCGCUAGAUUAUAUACCCGGCCUCAGCAACACCAAAGGCAGGCACUUCUAAACAGAAUCCGCUGGUCUUAGAAGGACAUGGUCAUUAGAAGUCACCAAAAUAUGCCUUCCAGGGAUGUGAAGCAGCCGUCUCUAUGAGAAAGAUGGGCUGCGUGAAAAGCAUUUCCUUUGUGCCCUUAACUUUUAAAGAAAUUCAGGUAAAAUAUCAACACGUUCAACUCAACCACAUACAUACACAGUAUUUUAGGGAGUCUUUUGGUGCCCAAGGGUGGCUUACCAGAGAUUUAAUAUUCCUCCGUCAGCUACCACUUAAAGCUACCUAAAAGUCU